rnacentral:rRNA from 1 species
UACGGAGGGUGCGAACGUUGUCCGGAAUCACUGGGCGUAAAGGGCGCGUAGGCGGCGUUUUAAGUCGGGGGUGAAAGCCUGUGGCUCAACCACAGAAUUGCCUUCGAUACUGGGACGCUUGAGUGUGGUAGAGGUUGGUGGAACUGCGAGUGUAGAGGUGAAAUUCGUAGAUAUUCGCAAGAACACCGGUGGCGAAGGCGGCCAACUGGACCAUCACUGACGCUGAGGCGCGAAAGCGUGGGGAGCAAACAGG